rnacentral:rRNA from 1 species
CCUACGGGAGACUGCAGUGGGGAAUAUUGCACAAUGGGGGAAACCCUGAUGCAGCGACGCCGCGUGAGUGAAGAAGUAUCUCGGUACGUAAAGCUCUAUCAGCAGGGAAGAAAAUGACGGUACCUGACUAAGAAGCCCCGGCUAACUACGUGCCAGCAGCGGCGGUAAUACGUAGGGGGCAAGCGUUAUCCGGAUUUACUGGGUGUAAAGGGAGCGUAGCUGGCAGCACAAGUCUGGAGUGAAAUCCCGGGGCUUAACCCCGGAACUGCUUUGGAAACUGUGCGGCUGGAGUGCAGGAGGGGUAAGCGGAAUGCGUAGUGUAGCGGUGAAAUGCGUAGAUAUUAGGAGGAACACCGGUGGCGAAGGCAGCUUACUGGACUGUAACUGACGUUGAGGCUCGAAAGCGUGGGGAGCAAACAGGAUUAGAUACCCGAGUAGUC